UACGUAGGGUGCGAGCGUUAAUCGGAAUUACUGGGCGUAAAGGGUGCGCAGGCGGUCCUGCAAGUCAGGCGUGAAAUCCCCGGGCUUAACCUGGGAAUGGCACUUGAAACUACGGGACUGGAGUAUGGCAGAGGGAGGUGGAAUUCCACGUGUAGCGGUGAAAUGCGUAGAUAUUGGGAGGAACACCAGUGGCGAAGGCGGCUCACUGGACCGGUUCUGACGCUGAGGCGCGAAAGCGUGGGGAGCAAACGGG
rnacentral:rRNA from 1 species